rnacentral:rRNA from 1 species
UAGCGGCGGACGGGUGAGUAACACGUGGGUAACCUGCCUGUAAGACUGGGAUAACUCCGGGAAACCGGAGCUAAUACCGGAUAGUUCCUUGAACCGCAUGGUUCAAGGAUGAAAGACGGUUUCGGCUGUCACUUACAGAUGGACCCGCGGCGCAUUAGCUAGUUGGUGGGGUAAUGGCUCACCAAGGCGACGAUGCGUAGCCGACCUGAGAGGGUGAUCGGCCACACUGGGACUGAGACACGGCCCAGACUCCUACGGGAGGCAGCAGUAGGGAAUCUUCCGCAAUGGACGAAAGUCUGACGGAGCAACGCCGCGUGAGUGAUGAAGGUUUUCGGAUCGUAAAGCUCUGUUGUUAGGGAAGAACAAGUGCGAGAGUAACUGCUCGCACCUUGACGGUACCUAACCAGAAAGCCACGGCUAACUACGUGCCAGCAGCCGCGGUAAUACGUAGGUGGCAAGCGUUGUCCGGAAUUAUUGGGCGUAAAGGGCUCGCAGGCGGUUUCUUAAGUCUGAUGUGAAAGCCCCCGGCUCAACCGGGGAGGGUCAUUGGAAACUGGGAAACUUGAGUGCAGAAGAGGAGAGUGGAAUUCCACGUGUAGCGGUGAAAUGCGUAGAGAUGUGGAGGAACACCAGUGGCGAAGGCGACUCUCUGGUCUGUAACUGACGCUGAGGAGCGAAAGCGUGGGGAGCGAACAGGAUUAGAUACCCUGGUAGUCCACGCCGUAAACGAUGAGUGCUAAGUGUUAGGGGUUUCCGCCCCUUAGUGCUGCAGCUAACGCAUUAAGCACUCGCUGGGGAGUACGGUCGCAGACUGAAACUCAAGAUGCGGGCGGGG